rnacentral:rRNA from 1 species
AUGAACGCUGGCGGCGUGCCUAAUACAUGCAAGUCGAGCGAACAGACGAGGAGCUUGCUCCUCUGACGUUAGCGGCGGACGGGUGAGUAACACGUGGAUAACCUACCUAUAAGACUGGGAUAACUUCGGGAAACCGGAGCUAAUACCGGAUAAUAUAUUGAACCGCAUGGUUCAAUAGUGAAAGACGGUUUUGCUGUCACUUAUAGAUGGAUCCGCGCCGCAUUAGCUAGUUGGUAAGGUAACGGCUUACCAAGGCAACGAUGCGUAGCCGACCUGAGAGGGUGAUCGGCCACACUGGAACUGAGACACGGUCCAGACUCCUACGGGAGGCAGCAGUAGGGAAUCUUCCGCAAUGGGCGAAAGCCUGACGGAGCAACGCCGCGUGAGUGAUGAAGGUCUUCGGAUCGCAAAACUCUGUUAUUAGGGAAGAACAAAUGUGUAAGUAACUAUGCACGUCUUGACGGUACCUAAUCAGAAAGCCACGGCUAACUACGUG